rnacentral:rRNA from 1 species
CGCUGGCGGCGUGCCUAACACAUGCAAGUCGAGCGAGGAGAGUUCCUUCGGGAACAAACCUAGCGGCGGAUGGGUGAGUAACACGUGGGCAACCUGCCUUGUAGAGGGGAAUAGCCUUCCGAAAGGAAGAUUAAUACCGCAUAACAUUACAGUUUCGCAUGAAACAGUAAUUAAAGGAGCAAUCCGCUACAAGAUGGGCCCGCGGCGCAUUAGCUAGUUGGUGAGGUAACGGCUCACCAAGGCGACGAUGCGUAGCCGACCUGAGAGGGUGAUCGGCCACAUUGGGACUGAGACACGGCCCAGACUCCUACGGGAGGCAGCAGUGGGGAAUAUUGCACAAUGGGGGAAACCCUGAUGCAGCAACGCCGCGUGAGUGAUGAAGGUUUUCGGAUCGUAAAGCUCUGUCUUCGGGGACGAUAAUGACGGUGCCCGAGGAGGAAGCCACGGCUAACUACGUG